UUUAACUUUUGUUUGUGACCUGUAUUUUGAUGGCAGGUAAUGACUAAUGGAAGAUAAUAAUGCUGGCUUCUAUAGCUGCUGGAGUUCAAUUCGCCAGUUGUGGGUUAUUACAGUGAGAAUUGCACUACCUUCGAUUUUGUGUUUGUUUGUUAUUUUUGUUCUUUCAGUUUUGAUAGAACCAAAACCAAAUGAUGAGAAAAUUUCUACACUCACGGCUGGCAGCACAUGCAUGUUCAAACUUCUG
rnacentral:lncRNA from 1 species